GUGCCAUUAGCUUAAUUGGUAGAGCCACGUAAUUCUGCAUAUGACUCUUUGAGCAUAAAACAGUCGUGAGGUCGGAGUUCGAAUCUUCGAUGGCACU
rnacentral:tRNA from 3 species